CGGGACGGGUGAGUAAUGUCUGGGAAACUGCCUGAUGGAGGGGGAUAACUACUGGAAACGGUAGCUAAUACCGCAUAACGUCGCAAGACCAAAGUGGGGGACCGUUCGGGCCUCUUGCCAUCGGAUGUGCCCAGAUGGGAUUAGCUAGUAGGUGGGGUAACGGCUCACCUAGGCGACGAUCCCUAGCUGGUCUGAGAGGAUGACCAGCCACACUGGAACUGAGACACGGUCCAG
rnacentral:rRNA from 1 species